rnacentral:misc_RNA from 1 species
UGAAGUCCCACAAACAUCUCUCAGAAUUCAACUCUUGUAAUCAUAGCAAAACUCUCGCUCUUCUCUUCCUCUCUCUCUCUUCAUUCCAUGUCUGAAACUAUAUCAGCAGCAGAUCCCAUACACAAGCCAUUACUCACCUCAGCAACAAUGGGUUUGGAAGAAUUUCAAGACCCACCAAAGAAAACUUACUGGAGAUGGAGCAAGCAAGAUUUCUUCCCGGAACCCUCUUUCGAAAACCUCGUCACCUACAGAAAUGCUCUAUCUCACACCUUUCCUCGCCUCAAGGAUCGUCUCCUCUCUCGCUCUACCGACACCAAUGAACUCGUCACUCUCCAGAAAGAGAGCGAAAACCCCAUGCGCAAAUGCCUCAAUUGGUGGGACCUCAUGUGGCUUAGCUUCGGUUCGGUUGUUGGGUCUGGCAUCUUCGUUAUCACCGGCCAAGAAGCUCGUGAUGAUGCUGGUCCUGCUGUAGUUCUUUCUUAUGCUGUCUCUGGUAUCUCUGCAUUGCUUUCGGUCUUCUGUUACGCUGAGUUUGCUGUUGAGAUUCCUGUCGCAGGUGGGUCUUUCUCCUAUCUUCGGAUUGAAUUGGGUGACUUGAUUGCUUUUCUUGCUGCUGGGAAUAUUCUUUUGGAGGCUGUUAUUGGUGCAGCUGGGCUUGGACGUUCUUGGUCCUCAUAUUUUGCCAGCAUGAUCAAUACUAACAAUCCUGAUUUCUUGAGAAUCAGAGUUAAAUCUCUCCCAGAUGGAUUUGAUCUUUUGGAUCCAAUAGCUGUUGUUGUCCUUUUGAUGGCUAAUACCGUAGCAAUGACUGGAACAAAGAGGACUUCUAUUUUGAAUUGGAUUAGUUCUAUUCUCAGUGCUACUAUAAUUGUGUUUAUUAUUGUUGUUGGGUUUAUUCAUGGCAAGAGCUCGAAUUUGGUGCCAUUUUUUCCAUAUGGACCAAAGGGUGUCUUUAAAGCUGCAGCUGUUGUAUACUGGUCUUAUACUGGGUUUGAUAUGGUUGCUACUAUGGCUGAAGAGGCAGAGAAGCCAUCAAGGGAUAUACCAAUUGGGUUGGUUGGUUCAAUGUCUAUGAUCACUGUGGUUUAUUGCUUGAUGGCUUUGGCACUGACCAUGAUGGUGAAAUAUACUGAAAUUGAUCCAGAUGCUGCAUAUUCUGUUGCUUUUUCUCAAAUUGGCAUGAAUUGGGCUAAGUAUUUGGUGAGCAUAUGUGCCCUCAAGGGAAUGACUACAAGUUUGCUGGCUGGAUCUAUUGGACAGGGAAGAUACACCACUCAGAUUGCAAGGUCUCAUAUGAUUCCUCCUUGGUUUGCUCUAGUUCAUCCAAAAACUGGAACACCCAUUAAUGCUACUCUUUUGGUAACUAUACUUAGUGCUAUUGUAGCAUUUUUCACUAGUUUGGACGUUUUGUCAAGUGUCUUUUCCUUGUGUACACUCCUUAUUUUCAUGCUUAUGGCUGUUGCAUUGCUUGUGAGGCGAUAUCAUGUGAAAGAUGUUACUUCAAAGAGUCAUUUGGUUAAAUUUCUUAUGUCUUUAUUCAUCAUUAUUGGUUCUUCAAUUGGAGUAACUGCUAUCUGGAGUUCAAAUGGGAGAGGAUGGAUAGGAUAUGUGGUGACUUUUGUUCUUUGGUUUUUGGGGACCUUGGGGAUGGCGUUGCUAGAAAAGCAACGUGUUCCAAAGGUUUGGGGAGUUCCUCUGGUUCCGUGGUUGCCUUCAUUAUCAAUAGCCAUGAAUUUGUUUCUAAUUGGAUCUUUGGAUUAUAAAGCAUUCCUGAGGUUCAUAAUUUGCUGUGCGGCAAUGAUUUUCUACUAUUUGUUUGUUGGUGUUCAUGCAACUUAUGAUGUAGCUCACAAGAACCAGGAAUCAAGUUUGGGAAAUGCUGCAGGAGUUAUCUAAUGGUAUGUAGUAAUAUUUGAUGGCUAGUUUAGUUAUUUCUUAUAUUUUAGAUGUCAAUACUUAAGAUAUUAUUAUUUUCAAUGUUCUGUAAUACAGGAAGGAAAUAUUUGGCAUCUAUUCAAUUUGUAAUGAUUUGCUCAUUUUAUCUCUUUCUCAACAAUUUGUUUUGAAAAUUUAAAUUCAUAAAGUUAUCAAUGUGAUUCAACAUUCCAUUGAAAUUUUCACGCCAUAACAAUUGGAGGUCCUUAAGAAUGCAAUCUUGAUUAUGUGAUUGUGGAAUAGAAUAUUUGCUUAAUAUUUCAGCAUCCAUUUCUGCCACAUAAACAUGGCUUACUAAUAUGUGGAAUAAGAUUCUAAUCAGAAUGCCCAUAGCUUCUGGAUUCUAAUUGGAGUUUGCUCCCUUAUGGCAAACAUGCAUAUCUCAUCAAUGGAGGUAGGCAACAACUUAUGGAUUGUCAUGGAACAUUACUUUGCCUGAAUUAUUUUCUCAGAUUACAAAACAAUAUGAAUACAUAAAUG